rnacentral:lncRNA from 1 species
GGCCCCUCCUCGGCCACACAAAGGCCCGUCUCCAUGGCAGCCGCGCGGGCCGCAGCACAGCGCCGAGCGCGGCCCGGGCGCCAUCGAGCCUCGGCGGCGGACGUGCAGGGAAUCUUGAUGUGCUCCUGGAGCAGAGGCUGAGUCGGACCGCUGUGGCCUCGGGCACCAGGGGCAAUGGCGCUGCAGCUCUGGACCCUGAUCCUCUUGGGCCUGGUGGGCACCAGUUCGAGCCUGCGGUCCCGCAAGCUGGACUUCUUCCGCAGCGAGACGGAGCUGAACCACCUGGUCGUGGAUGAGGCGUCAGGCGUGGUGUACGUGGGGGCGGUGAACACGCUCUACCAGCUGAGUGCAGAUCUGCAGCUGGAGCAGCAGGCCGCCACGGGCCCAGCCCUGGACAACAAGAAGUGUACGCCGCCCAUCGAGGCGAGCCAGUGCCACGAGGCCGUGCUGACCGACAACGUCAACCAGCUGCUGCUCCUCGACCCGCCCGGGCACCGCCUCGUUGAGUGCGGCAGCCUCUUCAAGGGCAUUUGUGCCCUGCGUGCCCUGAGCAACAUCUCCACGCGCCUCUUCUACGAGGACGGCAGCGGCGAGAAGUCCUUCGUGGCCAGCAAUGACGAGAGCGUGGCCACCGUGGGGCUGGUGAGCACCACGGGCCCUGGUGGCGAGCGCGUGCUCUUCGUGGGCAAAGGCAACGGGCCCCACGACAACGGCAUCAUCGUGAGCACCCGUCUGCUGGACCGGGCCGAGGGCAGGGAGGCCUUCGAGGCCUACACGGACCACGCCGCCUACAAGGCCGGCUACCUGUCCACCAACACGCAGCAGUUCGUGGCUGCCUUCGAGGACGGCGCCUACGUCUUCUUCGUCUUCAACCAGCAGGACAAGCACCCGGCCCAGAACCGCACGCUGCUGGCGCGCAUGUGCAAGCACGACCCCUUCUACUACUCCUACCUGGAGGUGGACCUGCGCUGCCACGACCCCAGCGACACCCAGGCUCCCCCCUUCGGCACCUGCCUGGCGGCCUCCGUGGCCGGGCCGGGCGACCACAGGGUGCUGUACGCCGUCUUCGGCAGGGAUGGCAGGGGCGGCGGGGGGCCCCACGCGGGCCUCUGCCUGUUCCCGCUGGCCGAGGUCCACGCCAAGAUGAAGGCCAACCGCAACGCCUGCUACACGGGCGCCCGGGAGGCGGGCCGCGACACCUUCUACAAGCCCUUCCAUGGCGACAUCCAGUGUGGCGGCCACGGGCCGGGUGCCAGCGAGAGCUUCCCGUGUGGCUCGGAGCACCUGCCCUACCCACUGGGCAGCCGAGACGGACUCUCAGCCACAGCUGUGCUGCAGCGCGGAGGCCUGAACCUGACGGCUGUGACGGUGACAGCCGAGAAUGGCCACACCAUCGCCUUCCUGGGGACCUCAGAUGGCCGCAUCCUCAAGGUGUACCUCGCUCCAGAUGGCAGCUCCGCGGAGUACAGCUCUGUCCUCGUGGAAAUCAACAAGAGAAUCAAGCGCGACCUGGUGCUGGCCGCAGACAAGACCAGUCUGUACGCCAUGACCCAGGACAAGGUCUUCCGGCUCCCAGUGCAGGAGUGUGUAAGCUUCCUGACCUGCGAGCAGUGUCGCAGCUCACAGGACCCGUAUUGUGGCUGGUGCGUCGUUGAGGGCCGAUGCACCAGGAGGGCUGAGUGCCCGCGGGCUGAAGAGAGUGGCCACUGGCUGUGGAGCCGAGACAAGUCCUGCGUGGCCGUCACGGGGGCCCAGCCCCAGAACAUGAGUCGCCGGGCCCAGGGGGAGGUGCAGCUCACCGUCAGUCCCCUCCCGGCCCUGAGCGAGGAGGACGAGCUGCUGUGCCUCUUCGGAGAGUCGCCGCCACACCCCGCCCGCGUGGAGGGGGACGCCGUGACCUGCAACUCCCCGAGUAGCAUUCCGAGCACACCGCCCGGCCAGGACCACGUGGCCGUGAACGUCCAGCUCCUCUUUGGACGUGGCAACGUCUUCCUGACCUCACACCUGUACCCCUUCUACGACUGCCGGGAGGCCGUGAACCUGGCGGAGAGCCUGCCGUGCAUCUCCUGCGCGAGCAACCGCUGGACCUGCCAGUGGGACCUGCGCUACCAUGAGUGUCGCGAAGCCUCGCCCAACCCUGAGGAUGGCAUCAUCCGCGCCCACAUGGAGGACAGCUGCCCCCAGUUCUUGAACCCCAGCCCGCUUGUCAUCCCCAUGAACCACGAGACAGCCGUGGCUUUCCAGGGCAAGAACCUGGACACAGUGAAGGGCUCGUCCUUGCACGUGGGCAGCGACCUGCUCAAGUUUGAGGAGCCAGUCAGCACCCAGGAGCCAGGAAGCUUCCUCUUCCGGACCCCAAAGCUGUCCCACGACGGGAACGAGACGCUGCCCCUGCACCUGUACGUCAAGUCCUACGGCAAGAACAUCGACAGCCGGCUCCAAGUGACUCUCUACAACUGCUCCUUCGGCCGCAGCGACUGCAGCCUGUGCCUGGCCGCCGACCCCGCCUACAAGUGCGUGUGGUGCAGUGGGCAGAGCAGGUGUGUGUACGAGGCCCUGUGCAGCAACGCCACCUCCGAGUGCCCGCCGCCAGUCAUCACCAGGAUCCACCCUGAGACGGGCCCCCUGGGCGGAGGCAUUCACGUCACCAUCCUUGGCUCAAACUUGGGGGUCAAAGCAGACGACGUGACGAGGGUCACCGUGGCUGGCCGGAAUUGCACCUUUGAGCCCAAACGGUACUCUGUGUCCACCCGGAUCGUGUGUGCCAUCGAGGCCGCGGAGGCGCCCUUCUCGGGGGGCGUCGAGGUGGAUGUCAACGGGAAGCUCGGCCAUUCGCCUCCCCAUGUCCAGUUCACCUACCAGCAGCCCCAGCCCCUCAGCGUGGCACCAAAGCAGGGGCCACAGGCGGGUGGCACCUUGCUGACCAUCAGCGGCACCCACCUGGACACUGGCUCUGAGGAAGACGUGCGGGUGACCCUCAAUGACGUCCCUUGUAAAGUGGUGCAGUUUGGGGCACAGCUUCAGUGUGUCACCGGCCCCCAGUCAGUUCUGGGAGAGCUGCCCCUGAAGAUUUACUACGGGGGCUCCCAAGCGCCCAGCCCCGGUGUCACCUUCACCUACCGUGAGAACCCAGUGCUACGGGCGUUCGAGCCGCUGCGAAGCUUCGUCAGCGGCGGCCGGAGCAUCAACGUCACAGGGCAGGGGUUCAGCCUGAUCCAGCGAUUCGCCAUGGUGGUCAUAGCCGAGCCCCUGCAGUCGUGGCGGCGGCGGCGGGAGGCGGGACCCCUGCAGCCCAUGACGGUCGAGGGCACGGAGUAUGUGUUCUACAACGACUCCAAGGUCGUGUUCCUGUCGCCGGCCGUCCCCGAGGAGCCCGAGGCCUACAACCUCACGGCUCUCAUCCAGAUGGACGGGCACCGCGCCCUGCUCAGGACUGAGGCCGGUGCCUUCGAGUACGUCGCCGACCCCACGUUUGAGAACUUCACGGGAGGCGUCAAGAAGCAGGUCAACAAGCUCAUCCACGCCCGGGGCACCAAUCUGAACAAGGCGAUGACGCUCCAGGAGGCCGAGGCCUUCGUGGGUGCCGAGCGCUGCAUCAUGAAGACGCUGACGGAGACUGAUCUGUACUGCGAGCCCCCGGAGGUGCAGCCCCCUCCCAAGCGGCGGCAGAAGCGGGACACCACCCACAACCUUCCUGAGUUCAUUGUGAAGUUCGGCUCCCGGGAGUGGGUGCUGGGGCGCGUGGAGUAUGACACGCGUGCGAGUGACCUGCCGCUCAGCCUCAUCCUGCCGCUGGUCAUCGUGCCCAUGGUGGCGGUCAUCGCGGUGUCUGUCUACUGCUACUGGAGGAAGAGCCAACAGGCCGAGCGUGAGUACGAGAAGAUCAAGUCCCAGCUGGAGGGCCUGGAGGAGAGCGUGCGCGACCGCUGCAAGAAGGAGUUCACGGACCUGAUGAUCGAGAUGGAGGACCAGACCAACGACGUGCACGAAGCAGGCAUCCCGGUGCUGGACUACAAGACCUACACCGACCGCGUCUUCUUCCUGCCCUCCAAGGACGGGGACAAGGACGUGAUGAUCACCGGCAAGCUGGACAUCCCAGAGUCUCGCAGGCCGGUGGUGGAGCAGGCGCUUUACCAGUUCUCCAACCUGCUCAACAGCAAGUGCUUCCUCAUCAACUUCAUCCACACCCUGGAGAACCAGCGGGAGUUCUCUGCUCGCGCCAAGGUCUAUUUUGCGUCGCUGCUGACGGUGGCGCUGCACGGGAAGCUGGAGUAUUACACAGACAUCAUGCGCACCCUCUUCCUGGAGCUCAUGGAGCAGUACGUGGUGGCCAAGAACCCCAAGCUGAUGCUGCGCAGGUCUGAGACAGUGGUGGAGAGAAUGCUGUCCAACUGGAUGUCCAUCUGCCUGUACCAGUAUCUCAAGGACAGCGCUGGCGAGCCGCUAUACAAGCUUUUCAAGGCCAUCAAGCAUCAAGUGGAGAAGGGGCCAGUGGACGCCGUGCAGAAGAAAGCCAAAUACACCCUCAAUGACACGGGGCUGCUGGGGGAUGACGUGGAGUAUGCACCCCUGACAGUGAGCGUGAUCGUCCAGGAUGAAGGGGUCGACGCCAUCCCCGUCAAGGUCCUCAACUGUGACACCAUCUCCCAGGUCAAGGAGAAGAUCAUCGACCAGGUGUACCGCACACAGCCCUGCUCCCGCUGGCCCAAGGCUGACAGCGUGGUGCUCGAGUGGCGUCCCGGGUCCACGGCCCAGAUCCUGUCAGACCUGGACCUGACCUCGCAGCGCGAGGGCCGCUGGAAGCGCUUCAACACGCUGAUGCACUACAACGUGCGGGACGGAGCCACGCUGAUCCUGUCCAAGGUGUGGGUCUCCCAGCAGCCGGAGGACAGCCAGCAGGACCUGCCUGGGGAGCGCCACGCCCUCCUGGAGGAGGAGAACCGCGUGUGGCACCUGGUGCGGCCGGCGGACGAGGUGGACGAGGGCAAGUCCAAGCGCGGCAGCGUGAAGGAGAAGGAGCGGACCAAGGCCAUCACUGAGAUCUACCUGACCCGCCUGCUCUCGGUCAAGGGCACGCUGCAGCAGUUCGUGGACAACUUCUUCCAGAGCGUGCUGGCGCCCGGGCUCGCGGUGCCCCCCGCCGUCAAGUACUUCUUCGACUUUCUGGACGAGCAGGCGGAAAAGCAUGACAUCAAGGACGAGGACACCAUCCACAUCUGGAAGACCAACAGUUUGCCGCUGCGGUUCUGGGUGAACAUCCUCAAGAAUCCCCACUUCAUCUUCGACGUGCACGUCCACGAGGUGGUGGACGCCUCCCUCUCGGUCAUCGCGCAAACCUUCAUGGACGCCUGUACGCGCACGGAGCACAAGCUGAGCCGCGACUCUCCCAGCAACAAGCUUCUCUACGCCAAGGAGAUCUCCACCUACAAGAAGAUGGUGGAGGACUACUACAAGGGGAUCAGACAGAUGGUGCAGGUCAGCGACCAGGACAUGAACACCCACCUGGCAGAGAUCUCCCGGGCACACACGGACUCCCUGAACACGCUCGUGGCGCUGCACCAGCUCUACCAGUACACGCAGAAGUACUAUGACGAGAUCAUCAACGCCCUGGAGGAGGAUCCUGCCGCCCAGAAGAUGCAGCUGGCCUUCCGGCUCCAGCAGAUUGCCGCUGCACUCGAGAACAAGGUCACGGACCUCUGACCUCCAACUCCUCUGUUCCGGUCUCAGGGCGCAGUGCGGGGCGCCCAGCAGCACCAGCUCCCUCCUGCAGAACCAGCAUCGCCUGGGGUCUCCUUCACGUCUCCCGAGUGAUUUGAAAACGUGCCUUAUACUCCCGGCGCCACGCUGGGUCUCUGGGGGCGGUCGGGCCUCAGCCCCCUCCCCGAGCACCAGCAGCCACCUCGGAUACCUGGGUUUGGCCCUUUUGGGUGGGAUCUGAGUGCCUGCAGCCCCCGGGACCUAGCGCCCAGACUGCCUUGCCGGGCUGGGGGUAGAAAACCGGUACAAUGCCUUGCUGACCUCGACGGCUUGCCCUGCGGCGCGGGCACUCCGGUGGACUCGGCGCUGGAGACCCCACCUCAAGCUGGACGUCACACGUCAAGGCCCAGGCGGCCAGAAGGGACCCAGCAGACUGGGGGUCCUGGUCUCCGCCUGUCAGACAGGCCGACCUGGAGGCCCUGCCUGGGUCUGGGGAGCCAGGAGCAGCUCCGCCAGGACCGCCCCCGACCCUUUUUGUAAAUCUUGUUCAUUGUAAAUCAAAUACAAUUGUGUUUU